rnacentral:lncRNA from 10 species
UUGGUUCAAGCUCCUUCUUGUUUCCAAUCACAUAACCACUGCCCCGAGCUAAAGACAACAUUGGUAGGAUACAGAUGCUGUGUGAAAAGCCACAUGCUGGAACAAGGUUCUGAAUCUUUCAGCUGAUGUGGCCACCCUGGUUGCUGUGGGACACCUGUCUCCUCCUGCCGUCCAAAAGAGCAAGAAGCACUAAACUCUGUCUUCGGUCAGCAUGACUCUCAGCCCAUGUAAGCUCACCUUGGCUGUACCCCGAGGAGGGAGAUCAAAGUAUAUGUUCCUACUGUCAGCUUUACUCACAUCCACAUCUUCUCCCUGCAUGUCCUUGGGUUGGAAGGAACAGCUUAUUUUUUGUCCUACAUCAGUGGUUCUUAAACUUUACUGUACCAAGAAAGCUUUUAAAAAAUGCUGAUGAUUGGGGCCUGCAGAUUCUCAGUCACUGAUCUGGAUAUGUCCUGCAUGUAAGAGUGUUUUGCAAAUCGUUUCUAAUGUGCAACCAGGAUUACAAAACGUUAUCUUGUAUCCUGAGUUCUCUCUACUCUUGGCAUAAAAUUAAAAU